rnacentral:lncRNA from 1 species
AAAAGAGGAAAAGAGAGAGGGGUAAGCAUAAAGCUUAGUAAGUUGUAUGUAAAUAAUAAACAACAUAAAUAAAGAUAUUCAUAGAUUAAACAUAUUAUUUAUUAUCACCACAAUAUCAUACUUUACACAUGACUGUAGUCAAAAUUGACCUUAAGUGUCCUGAAACAUCAACUGUAUCUUACUCCUUUCUACACAUACUAAAUUUCUCAUUAUGAAUCGAGUUCAAAACUCAUGAGAUUUACG